CCGGUAAACGGCGGCCGUAACUAUAACGGUCCUAAGGUAGCGAAAUUCCUUGUCGGGUAAGUUCCGACCUGCACGAAUGGCGUAAUGAUGGCCAGGCUGUCUCCACCCGAGACUCAGUGAAAUUGAACUCGCUGUGAAGAUGCAGUGUACCCGCGGCAAGACGGAAAGACCCCGUGAACCUUUACUAUAGCUUGACACUGAACAUUGAGCCUUGAUGUGUAGGAUAGGUGGGAGGCUUUGAAGUGUGGACGCCAGUCUGCAUGGAGCCGACCUUGAAAUACCACCCUUUAAUGUUUGAUGUUCUAACGUUGACCCGUAAUCCGGGUUGCGGACAGUGUCUGGUGGGUAGUUUGACUGGGGCGGUCUCCUCCUAAAGAGUAACGGAGGAGCACGAAGGUUGGCUAAUCCUGGUCGGACAUCAGGAGGUUAGUGCAAUGGCAUAAGCCAGCUUGACUGCGAGCGUGACGGCGCGAGCAGGUGCGAAAGCAGGUCAUAGUGAUCCGGUGGUUCUGAAUGGAAGGGCCAUCGCUCAACGGAUAAAAGGUACUCCGGGGAUAACAGGCUGAUACCGCCCAAGAGUUCAUAUCGACGGCGGUGUUUGGCACCUCGAUGUCGGCUCAUCACAUCCUGGGGCUGAAGUAGGUCCCAAGGGUAUGGCUGUUCGCCAUUUAAAGUGGUACGCGAGCUGGGUUUAGAACGUCGUGAGACAGUUCGGUCCCUAUCUGCCGUGGGCGCUGGAGAACUGAGGGGGGCUGCUCCUAGUACGAGAGGACCGGAGUGGACGCAUCACUGGUGUUCGGGUUGUCAUGCCAAU
rnacentral:rRNA from 1 species